UACGUAGGGUGCGAGCGUUGUCCGGAAUUACUGGGCGUAAAGAGCGUGUAGGCGGCCAUGUAGGUCCGGUGUGAAAACUCGAGGCUUAACCUCGAGAUGUCAUCGGAAACCAUUUGGCUAGAGUCCGGAAGAGGAGAGUGGAAUUCCUGGUGUAGCGGUGAAAUGCGCAGAUAUCAGGAAGAACACCAAUGGCGAAAGCAGCUCUCUGGGACGGUACUGACGCUGAGACGCGAAAGCGUGGGGAGCGAACAGG
rnacentral:rRNA from 1 species